CCUACCACAAGGAAGGCUUUGCAGUGGCCACAGUAGCAGAAGUGGUGGCUAGGAAUAAGAUGGCUAAGACUGAAGGAGUCCAGAGCUGCCACAAAUCUGGUCCAUCACCUUUAAUGUGCUUCACAAAACAACAGCCCAGUUUACUGAAAAGAGCCAUGAUAGUUCCUCGUGGCAGCCAGAAGAGAGGCUGAUGCUCAGAUCUUCCAGGAAAGAAGGAAGCUCAGCCUGAAGCUAAAGCAAGGGACUGAGAGUCAAGUGGCCCUAACCUCUGCAGCUGGCACACAGUGAGCUCCUGGCUUUGAUUUUCCUCUCUGCAAAUGAGAUCCUAAUGAUUUUUGACUUGUCCAUGAAGCUGACAUGAAAUUAAGCUCUCAUUAAUAAAAAUGUUCCAUCCCUUGAUGGAACAUGUUAAAUGUGUUAA